GAAAUCGCCAGUGCGCAAAGUGUGUACACAUUUUUUUUCAGUCGAUAUGAGUUUGCCUUGUUCGGAUCAAAGCAUUAGGCCGAGGAAAAUGAAGACUGCAAGUUUGCCACCUGGGGUGGUAGUCCUGCGGUGUUGGUGUGGCGAUCUUUGCAAGGUGAAGGAGGUGACGGAUUUUUCAGAUUGGUUGGGCAUGAAGUUUUUCAUGUGCGCCAAUUAUGAGGAAGAUCCUGCCGUAGCUAUUUCAGAGUACGACAAGCCUCCGUCUCCUCCGCGUCUGUGCAUGUACUAUCGUUGGAUUGACACGGAGAAGCCGGCUUGGGCAGUGACUGAGAUUCGUGAAAGAAGUCGCCGUGCGUGGAAUAGUUUAUUUGCGGAAGAGUGACGCGAGAAGGCGGAAGCUGAGGAGAAAGCGGAGCAAGAGAGAGAGUUAAAAGAAUACUAUGCGGAGCAACACCGUUUUUUUGAGAAAAUGGGAAAGAAAAACAGGGAAGAGGCUCGUCGCAUGGAGGAGCAGGAACGACAGCGAAAGGAGGCUCGUGAGGCGGAGAGGCAGAGAAAGAAAGAAAGGGCUCGUCAGGCCAAGGCAGCAGAAGAAGCUGGCGAUGGAAAAGGAAAAUAUCCACGUUGGACUCAGUAGAUUCCUGUGGUAGUAUUUUAAAUUUCGCAAUCAUUUGUAUCUUUAUUUCUACAGUUUAAUGUAGCUUCAUUUCAGUAGUUAAAUGUAGCUUUAUUUAAAUUCUACGAUGUAUCUUAUUUUCAGUUGUACCUUAUCGUGUUGUAUCUUAUUUUCAGUUGUACCUUGUCGUGAUGGAAAAAAUAUAUAGUUUUAGAAUAAAGUAGUGGCAUUUUCUUUCCCUCCACUAA